GUUUGCUUAUUUUCCCUCCAAAAGUUGUUGUUUUUAUGGUCAUUCUUUGUCCAGUGUUUGAGUAGAGAGGACUAUAUUUACAGAUUUGUAAUAUCAGACUUUUGACAUUUGAUAUUUCUCUCUAUUUAGUUAUAUGAUCUGGACCCUGUGAGCCAUAUUAUUAACACUCAUGAAUGGGAGAGGCUCGAUCCCAUAGAUAGGUCAUUUUCCUAUUAUCCUGUUACCAAUUUCCUAUUUAUAUAAUCAUCUGUGUGUGAAUAAAUGGAGAUGAUCGAACCCUGAAACGGACUUACUGUUAUAUUCCAUAAUAACUAUAAGAAACCGUUACAGUAUUUACAUACUGAAUAUUGUCGACGAAUUUUCUCGUUAUUUCUCGAUCAUGACAAGGAGCAUACAGCGGGUGUGAUCGAUCGGACUUCACAGAAAAGCAUAUCGACCGGUCGACAUGCUUUUCUGUGAAUUAAGUAGAUUUAUCUAUGGAUCGACCUAAUCAAAAGGCUAUAUUUAUAUAUCGACGACGUAUUGCCAAUUAUCAAAAAAAAAAAACCUCACUACUAACCUUCAAAUACAUGUAGUUUCAUAGAAAUGGAAAUAUAUCUAUUUUCAAUACUUCACAAAAUACCAGAGGGAGUAUAACACGUCAAAAUUGUAUAUACUGGUGCCUCAUAAUAUCGCGGUACUUAAUCCUUUUGAUUAAAAAUUGUUAUUCCAAUUUUUUACUUUAACUUUCAUCAAAUACUAUCCAUAAACCAAUCUAUGGCCUAACUUUUUAGUGUCAAAUUAUUUCUCAAGUUUGCACUGUUUAAUUUGUUGUCUAUUUUUAAAACGGGAAGUCUUAUUUACCUCCUAAAUUGUAGAGUCUCAUACA